rnacentral:misc_RNA from 1 species
GGCAAUUAUUCUCAGAUCUCCCACAACAGACCAUUGUAUUAACGGGAAUAAUCCUGCUGGGGUCUUGCUAUCUUACCUUGUAAAAAGCAAGGAGUUGGUUUUCUUUAGAGGCUACUAAGGAGAAGGAAGAAAGGAAGCAACAAGAAGUUCCAAUCCAUAGGAAAGCUAUGACUGGGAAAAGGUAGAAGCUUAAGCUUAAGCUAAAACAGAACUCUUGCUGCUGCCACACCCAGAGGAGAAAUGGAAGCCAAAUUUGCUCAUGGUCUGAUCUAUCUUAAUAUAUUCCUUGGAUGAUGCUUAUUGCUUUAACAUCUCCAAAAUACAGCUCAAGUAUUCACUAGCAUAUGUGGGAACUUUGUAGGCUAAAUAUUAGUGAAUUUGAAAGCCUCUUGCAAAGCUUUCUUUUGAAAUGUAACCAAAUAUAUAGGUGUCCUGCAACUUAGAUGCUCUACUUCAAAGGUUAGAGAUGAUUUAAUUGAUUAUACAAUUGAGACACCAAACCUCAUAAUUUAAAGACUGCACUACACUAAGUUUCUGCACUACGCUAAGUUUGCGGAGUCA